rnacentral:rRNA from 1 species
AACGAACGCUGGCGGCGCGCCUAAUACAUGCAAGUCGAGCGAGAAGACGUAGCAAUACGUUUGUAAAGCGGCGAACGGGUGAGGAAUACAUGGGUAACCUACCCUCGAGUGGGGAAUAACUAGCCGAAAGGUUAGCUAAUACCGCGUACGCUCCUUGGACUUCGGUUCAGGGAGGAAAGCGAUACCGUGGGUAUCGCGCUCUUGGAUGGGCUCAUGUCCUAUCAGCUUGUUGGUGAGGAACGGCUCACCAAGGCUUCGACGGGUAGCUGGUCUGAGAGGACGAUCAGCCACACUGGCACUGCGACACGGGCCAGACUCCUACGGGAGGCAGCAGUAAGGAAUAUUGCGCAAUGGGCGAAAGCCUGACGCAGCGACGCCGCGUGGGGGAUGAAGGUCUUCGGAUUGUAAACCCCUUUCGGGA